rnacentral:tRNA from 1 species
AUUUUAGUAGCUUAUAAUUUAGUAGCAUAACACUGAAGAUGUUAGGGAAGGUGUAUACCUCUAAAAUA